rnacentral:rRNA from 1 species
UGGGGAAUUGUUCGCAAUGGGCGCAAGCCUGACGACGCAACGCCGCGUGGAGGAUGAAGGUCUUCGGAUUGUAAACUCCUGUUGCCCGGGACGAAAAGCUUCGACCUAACACGUCGAGGUCUGACGGUACCGGGUGAGGAAGCCCCGGCUAACUCUGUGCCAGCAGCCGCGGUAAUACAGAGGGGGCAAGCGUUGUUCGGAAUUACUGGGCGUAAAGGGCGCGUAGGCGGCCUUCUAAGUCGAACGUGAAAUCCCCGGGCUCAACCCGGGAACUGCGUCCGAUACUGGAAGGCUUGAAUCCGGGAGAGGGAUGCGGAAUUCCAGGUGUAGCGGUGAAAUGCGUAGAUAUCUGGAGGAACACCGGUGGCGAAGGCGGCAUCCUGGACCGGCAUUGACGCUGAGGCGCGAAAGCCAGGGGAGCAAACGGGAUUAGAUACCCCCGUAGUCC